AUUGAACGCUGGCGGCAGGCCUAACACAUGCAAGUCGAACGGUAACAGAAAGCAGCUUGCUGCUUUGCUGACGAGUGGCGGACGGGUGAGUAAUGUCUGGGAAACUGCCUGAUGGAGGGGGAUAACUACUGGAAACGGUAGCUAAUACCGCAUAACGUCGCAAGACCAAAGAGGGGGACCUUCGGGCCUCUUGCCAUCGGAUGUGCCCAGAUGGGAUUAGCUAGUAGGUGGGGUAACGGCUCACCUAGGCGACGAUCCCUAGCUGGUCUGAGAGGAUGACCAGCCGCACUGGAACUGAGACACGGUCCAGACUCCUACGGGAGGCAGCAGUGGGGAAUAUUGCACAAUGGGCGCAAGCCUGAUGCAGCCAUGCCGCGUGUAUGAAGAAGGCCUUCGGGUUGUAAAGUACUUUCAGCGGGGAGGAAGGGAGUAAAGUUAAUACCUUUGCUCAUUGACGUUACCCGCAGAAGAAGCACCGGCUAACUCCGUG
rnacentral:rRNA from 1 species